rnacentral:rRNA from 1 species
AGUCGAGCGGUAGAGAGAAGCUUGCUUCUCUUGAGAGCGGCGGACGGGUGAGUAAUGCCUAGGAAUCUGCCUGGUAGUGGGGGAUAACGUUCGGAAACGGACGCUAAUACCGCAUACGUCCUACGGGAGAAAGCAGGGGACCUUCGGGCCUUGCGCUAUCAGAUGAGCCUAGGUCGGAUUAGCUAGUUGGUGGGGUAAUGGCUCACCAAGGCGACGAUCCGUAACUGGUCUGAGAGGAUGAUCAGUCACACUGGAACUGAGACACGGUCCAGACUCCUACGGGAGGCAGCAGUGGGGAAUAUUGGACAAUGGGCGAAAGCCUGAUCCAGCCAUGCCGCGUGUGUGAAGAAGGUCUUCGGAUUGUAAAGCACUUUAAGUUGGGAGGAAGGGUUGUAGAUUAAUACUCUGCAAUUUUGACGUUACCGACAGAAUAAGCACCGGCUAACUCUGUGCCAGCAGCCGCGGUAAUACAGAGGGUGCAAGCGUUAAUCGGAAUUACUGGGCGUAAAGCGCGCGUAGGUGGUUUGUUAAGUUGGAUGUGAAAUCCCCGGGCUCAACCUGGGAACUGCAUUCAAAACUGACUGACUAGAGUAUGGUAGAGGGUGGUGGAAUUUCCUGUGUAGCGGUGAAAUGCGUAGAUAUAGGAAGGAACACCAGUGGCGAAGGCGACCACCUGGACUAAUACUGA